GCGUGCGUCGUGACGUCAUGAGGAAGAAUGCUCUUAUACUGGAGUUCGGGCGCCAUAUCGGUCUUUCGGUGCUUCGAGUCUGGUCGGCCGUAGAGACACAGGGUGUCCCCUGAAACUAUAUCUACUUGCUUCAGCAUUCUGAAGUAGCUGCAGUGUGGCUCCGGAUGGCAUCUUGCGUGCAGUUAGAUGCCAAAGGAAUGAAUACUAAGGUAAAAAGCCUCUCCAGCAAUGGACACAAGGCACUAGAUAGAAAACCAGAAGUAGAAAUGGUGGAGGAUGAUUUCUUUGGAUCUGCUUUAUUUUUCUAUUCCUGGAAACACAUGUUGAUCUGGAUAGCAUGAUUGGGUAAGACCACAAAAACAAUUUUUUAGUUCCUGAUGUCUUAGGUUUAUAAUUUUGAAACAUAAUUCUACUAAUGAAUUAAGUCUAAGGAUUAUUUCUUAUUAAACCAGUAGACCAUAAAUAACUUUACUGUAUAUAAAGUAGAUUUAACAAUUGAAUAGGGGUUACAAGUAUUUAUAAAUAAGGUAAAUAACUAUUUUCAAAGUUAGUAUGAAACUGUUGGGAAGAAGUUUCUAAAUCAAUAACUUUACAGAUUGGAGACCUGUUAUUUUUUAAUAUUUUAAAGUUGUUGAUGGACCUUUAUUAUGUGAUGCUGAGAAUCGAACACAGUGCCUCAUGCAUGCCAGGCAAGCGUGUAACCACUGAGUCACAACCCCAGCCCUGAGACUAUUUAAAGGUACACAGACUCAGCUUGGGAAGCAGUGGCAAGAAGUUUUAAGCAAAGGUACAUCAGUCUCAAGAUUUUUACUGAUGGGGUGAACUAAGGCCUUGCAAUAUACUAGGAGUGAAGCUGGACAAGGUGUGUCUAUGAUCCUCCUAUCUACACUAUCCUGAGGGAUGACCAUCUCGUGAGCCCAGGAGAUAGUGGCCAGGAGAAGCAAUAAUGAUUGGGGAGGUGUGCUGCAUCCUGAGAUCUAGGGCUUUUGUGGCAGCUGCAGGAAUAUCACUUAACUCUUAGGUAGCUGGAUGGAUGUUAUCUCUUGGGAUAGAAGAUUGAAUAUGUCAUCACAUUAAGUUUCUGAAGAGAGUCUAGUUUUGGGCUGGGGUUUGAACCCAUGAAGUAUACUUCAAACAUGGAGAAGGGAAUAAAGGUGUCUAAUAAAAGUCACUAAGGAAAAUUUUGGUGCUUUGUCAUUUUGAGUUGAAAUAGAGCCUGUACAAGUCAUGAAGACUAUUGCUUCAUUAUCAGUAUAGGCAAUACACUGGUAUUGGGUGUCUUAAAGGUUAUUUUCUGCUUGAAAUGCCAUGUUUACUGCCAACAGAUCAGCUCAGGACGAGCCAUAUAUUUGAAGGAUUCAUUAUGGGGCUGAAAGACUGGGUCAGUGCUUUUUACUCUAAAGUACCUGAAAGACAAUAAAAAUCUCAAGUCAUGGAGAGAACUUGAUACUAAGGGAAAUAUCAAAUUUGCAUUAUCACUGCUUAGUGAAAUCUCCCAAAGAAAAAUGUUUUUUGAGAUUUACUCAAAGUAAUAGGUCAAUGAAAUACUUGUCAGCCAAAUAUUUGGACAAGAGGGGUAUAAAUGGUUAUGUCAAAAGUGGUAUACCUUAUAGGAUGGAUAACAUUAGAUAAAGUUAUUGGUACUUCUAAGUGGAGCAUUUGCCUUAAAUUUUUUUGCCUAACUGCAAAUCUGGUCAAUGUGUUUUGUCAGUGUGGAUUGCCAGUCAACUCCUAAAUUUCCUGGAGAGAUCUAUUAGCAUUUCACAAGUUAUUUUUGUCAUAACGGGUGGCUAUAUUGACAAACUUGGUUGUGUGCUAAGCAGAAUGGCCCUGUUUCUACCACAUUCAUCUUUGAAUGUGCCCUUUACCAUUAUUUACAGGUUUUCAGGACACAGUUUAAAUUUAUCCUUGCUCCAUGGUGUAACUCCUCAAUACUGGGAAAAAAAAAAACCUAAUGUGUGACUGCAUGGAAUUGCUUGGCCAGAUGAUAGGAAUUUGCAAGGCAUGUCUUGAGACUUGAUCACUAGUAAUAGAAAUAUGAUAUAGGAUAUGUAUCUGCAGUUGCUCAGAUGUCCCACCUAACAUUUUUAUAAAAUACUUUGUUACAAGAAAAAGGCGAGGGAGCUGGGGCUCAGCAGUAGUGCCCUUGUCUGAGAUGAGUGAGGCACUGGGUUUGCUCCUGCAGCAGUCAACUAAAAAUUAAGGUCUGAUAUUUCCAACUCCGUCCAAUUAUUAAUGUUGAGUAAUGAUCCGUUGUGUGUAUGUUUCCAUCUGUUGAAGGGUAUCUUGGUUGCUUCCAGUUUACCUACUAUGAAUUGAGCUGCUAUAAACAUUGAUGGCUGUGAUACUGUAGUUUGCUGAUUUAAAUCUUUUGGGUAUCUACCAAGGAGUAGGAUAGUUGGGUCAAAUGGUGGUUCCUUAGUUUCCUAAGGUAUCUCGACUGCAUUCCAGACUAGUUGCACCAAUUUACGGUCCUACCAGCAGUGUAUGAGUGUGUCUUUCCCCCACAUCCUUGACAAUGUUGUCUGUAUUCUUAACUCACUCUGUCUUUUUUCCUUUUCACAAGUUAUUUUUUUUUACUGAUAUUCAACAGAAUUACCUGUCAAAUUGUCUUAAUGGUUUCUAAAUAGUUAUACUCAAUUUCUGUUUAUCACAUGCACAUUAACAGACUAUGCUUUGAGGACAAUGGGUGCAAAUCAUUCCCUUUCUCAUUGGUUCUCCUCCCAUCUCCCAGGCACAGUAUGCCUGGGAGAACUUCUCAUGUUUUUCUGUCCCUCUUGUUGGAGUUAAUCCUACUAGACUUUCCUGCAUAGUCAAGGCCAUGGAAAAGUUAGUUGGGUCUUGAGAAGACCUACAGUACUAUGUAAGAGUAGGUUUGGUCUUCUUGGAUUCCUCUAAGUGGAUCAUAUCUAAAAUAGAUGACUCUUGCUAGAAUUGAUGACUCGCUAUCUAUGAUUCUGUAGGUCACUCAUUUUUUGGUAGCUCUUUUGUCUCCCACAUCAGCCUGUCCAUGGGCAGUCAGAUUAGCAGUAUGUGAGAUGAAGCUGCAAAUACUGUUUCCUGAGUCCGGAAACUUGCCCGUCAUCUAUAGUGCUAUCUUAUAAGCAUAUGUAGCAUUUUGUUCCUAGUGAACUCAGCUUUGUGAGGUAAGAUCCAUUGUGGAUUCUUUACAAAGUGUCUAAGAUGUUACCAUGCUGCCAUGAUGUUUCCUGUGCCAUGUUUCUUGCAAAACAUGACAUCUAGCCAGAGCACCUAGUUUCUAGAAGAGGUGAGUGCAUCUGUCACUCCUGUUCUCUUGGAUGACAAACAAGGUCAAUGUUAAGAGUAUCUCUUGAUUUGCAUUUCUCCAAUUUCUAGAGAUGAACAUUUUUUCAUAUAUUUGUUGAUCAAAUGUGCACCUUCUGAGAAGUAUAUUCAGCUCCCUAGUCCAUUUAAAUUGGAGAAUAUCAUGCUAAGCAAAGUAAGCCAGUCCCAAAAAAACAAAAGAAAAAUUCUCUUGGAGGCUGAGGAGACUGAAUUUGAAAUACUCUUGGUAUUAUGCAUUUAUUGUUUAAUGUUUAAUUUCAAGUAUCACCUUACCACAAUGAUGUCUUAAAUAGUAACAUAUCCUUAGAUUUCAGUAGUGGUUCCCCGGCCCCAAAUGGUCUGAAGUUGAGUAAUGCCCAAAGUGAUUAUUUCUGGUAUGUCAGGGCAGGAUCCCAGAGACCUAGGGCCUUUGGUAUUUGUAUUCCAGAAAAGAUCUGGAUUGUGGGUCUCUUCUGUAUACAGCUUGCUUCCAGGACAGUUUGGUGAGAAUUAGGCAUUGAACAGUAAAUAUAUAUGUAGUUAGAAAUUAGCCAACAACCUUAGAUGAUAUUGAUGGAUGUAAAAUUUUAUUUUCUUAUCCAAUAAAGGGCAUCUCUAGAAAUUCUACUGACAAAGGGCAGGCAGAAUUGGAUACCUCACUAAGGGAACCUUGCCAGCAAGAACCAGCAAAUGAGUGAGACACAAGCAAGUCCUAGGGAUUGAACCCAGGUUCUUGCACAUACCAGACAGGGUCUUGCUAAAUUGCGGAGGCUGGCCUUGAAUUUGUGAUCUACCUGCCUCAGCCUCCAGUCACUGGAAUUAAAGACAUGCACCACUGUGCCUGGCUUGGAAAUGACUUUCGAGUAGUGUGCCUCUUUUUCAUCUCUGAAAUUUCAAAGAAUAAAGUUCUCGGCGGACACAACAUGUUUGUUUGUAUGUGGUGCUGAGGAUCGAACC